AGAGUUUGAUCCUGGCUCAGAACAAACGCUGGCGGCGUGCCUAACACAUGCAAGUCGUACGAGAAAGUCCGCUUCGGUGGAUGAGUAAAGUGGCGCACGGGUGAGUAACGCGUGGAUAAUCUACCCUUUAGUCUGGAAUAACUUAUCGAAAGGUGAACUAAUACCGGAUAAUAUCCCGAUUUCUUCGGCGAUCGGGAUCAAAGAAGGCCUCUGCUUGCAAGCUUUCACUGAAGGAUGAGUCCGCGUACCAUUAGCUAGUUGGCAGGGUAAUGGCCUACCAAGGUUAUGAUGGUUAGCUGGUCUGAGAGGAUGAUCAGCCACACUGGAACUGAAACACGGUCCAGACUCCUACGGGAGGCAGCAGUGAGGAAUAUUGCGCAAUGGGGGCAACCCUGACGCAGCAACGCCGCGUGAGUGAGGAAGGUUUUCGGAUUGUAAAGCUCUGUCGAGCGGAAAGAAGUGCAUGGUGGUUAAUAUCCAUCAUGCUUGACGGUACCGCUAAAGGAAGCACCGGCUAACUCCGUGCCAGCAGCCGCGGUAAUACGGGGGGUGCAAGCGUUGUUCGGAAUCAUUGGGCGUAAAGCGCGUGUAGGCGGCUGGACAAGUCAGAUGUGAAAGCCCUGGGCUUAACCCAGGAAGUGCAUUUGAAACUGUUCAGCUAGAGUAAGGGAGAGGAAAGUGGAAUUCCUGGUGUAGAGGUGAAAUUCGUAGAUAUCAGGAGGAACACCGGUGGCGAAGGCGACUUUCUGGCCCUAUACUGACGCUGAGACGCGAAAGCGUGGGUAGCAAACAGGAUUAGAUACCCUGGUAG
rnacentral:rRNA from 1 species